GAAGGGCUCUUGCUUUAUUCUUUGCCCCGCCCCUGUCUGCAUAUACCCAUGUUUUUGCGUACUAUCUGUUUCCUUGGUGGGCUUGCCUGCCGAUAGGACAUUAUAAACUCACUUGCAAUUGCAGUCAGCGUCAGAAAAACAUAAUAAUUACAACUUUCAACAACGGAUCUCUUGGUUCUGGCAUCGAUGAAGAACGCAGCGAAAUGCGAUAAGUAGUGUGAAUUGCAGAAUUCAGUGAAUCAUCGAAUCUUUGAACGCACAUUGCGCCCCUUGGUAUUCCAUGGGGCAUGCCUGUUCGAGCGUCAUUUGUACCCUCAAGCUCAGCUUGGUGUUGGGUGUUUGUCCCGCCUUUUGCGUGUGGACUCGCCUUAAAGCAAUUGGCAGCCGGCAUAUUGGCCUGGAGCGCAGCACAAUUUGCGCCUCUUGUCAUGAAUGUUGGCAUCCAUCAAGCCCAUUUAUUUGCUCUUGACCUCGGAUCAGGUAGGGAUACCCGCUGAACUUAAGCAUAUCAAUAAGCGGAGGAA
rnacentral:rRNA from 1 species